rnacentral:rRNA from 1 species
GUGUCAGCCGCCGCGGUAAUACGUAGGAGGCUAGCGUUAUCCGGAUUUAUUGGGCGUAAAGCGCGUGUAGGUGGCUCUUCAAGUCGGAUGUAAAAUCUCCUGGCUUAACUAGGAGGGACCAUUCGAAACUGCUGGGCUAGAGUGCAGUAGAGGGAGGUGGAAUUCCCGGUGUAGUGGUGAAAUGCGUAGAUAUCGGGAGGAACACCAGUGGCGAAGGCGGCCUCCUGGGCUGUUACUGACGCUGAGACGCGAAAGCGUGGGGAGCGAACAGGAUUAGAUACCCUGGUAGUCCACGCUGUAAACUUUGGACACUAGGUAUGGGGAGUAUCGACCCUCUCCGUGCCGAAGCUAACGCAUUAAGUGUCCCGCCUGGGGACUACGGUCGCAAGACUAAAACUCAAAGGAAUUGGCGGGG